rnacentral:rRNA from 1 species
AACGAACGCUGGCGGCAUGCCUAACACAUGCAAGUCGAACGAGACCUUCGGGUCUAGUGGCGCACGGGUGCGUAACGCGUGGGAACCUGCCCUUAGGUUCGGAAUAACUCCCCGAAAGGGGUGCUAAUACCGGAUAAUGUCUUCGGACCAAAGAUUUAUCGCCUUUGGAUGGGCCCGCGUUGGAUUAGCUAGUUGGUAGGGUAAAAGCCUACCAAGGCGACGAUCCAUAGCUGGUCUGAGAGGAUGAUCAGCCACACUGGGACUGAGACACGGCCCAGACUCCUACGGGAGGCAGCAGUGGGGAAUAUUGGAGAAUGGGCGAAAGCCUGAUCCAGCAAUGCCGCGUGAGUGAUGAAGGCCUUAGGGUUGUAAAGCUCUUUUACCCGGGAUGAUAAAGACAGUACCGGGAGAAUAAGCUCCGGCUAACUCCGUG